rnacentral:rRNA from 1 species
UAUUAAUAAUGGUCUAAAUUAGUAAGUAUAUUAAUACAUAUAAAGGAACUCGGCAAAUAUUUACUUAGACUGUUUAACAAAAACAUAACUUAUAGCUCUAUUUAUUGUAAGCUUAACCUGCUCAGUGAUUAUAAUUUUAACAGCCGCAGUACUCUGACUGUGCUAAGGUAGCAUAAUCAAUUGGUCUUUAAUUGGGAUCGGGAAUGAAUGGAUUUACUAUGUAAGACUGUCUUGUUUAAGUAUAUUAUGAAUUUACUUAAAGGGUGAAAAUUCCCUUAGAUUUAAUAAUAGACGAGAAGACCCUUAGACUUUUUUAAAUUAAAAAUUAUGUUUUUAUUAUUUUGUUGGGGCGACAAUGUUUCAAAUUAAAAACAAACAGUCAAUUUAAAUUUUAUAUGAAAAUAUAUAUUAAGAAAAUUUAAAGUACCUGAGGGAUAACAGCAUAAUUAAGUAUUUAGAUUGUGACCUCGAUGUUGGACUAGGUAAUAAAUUGUCAAGAAGAUAUUUUAUUAAGUUCUGUUCGAACUUUACUCACCUA